rnacentral:rRNA from 1 species
CAGCCGCCGCGGUAAUACAGAGGGUGCAAGCGUUAAUCGGAAUUACUGGGCGUAAAGCGCGCGUAGGUGGUUUGUUAAGUUGGAUGUGAAAUCCCCGGGCUCAACCUGGGAACUGCAUCCAAAACUGGCAGGCUAGAGUAGGGCAGAGGGUGGUGGAAUUUCCUGUGUAGCGGUGAAAUGCGUAGAUAUAGGAAGGAACACCAGUGGCGAAGGCGACCACCUGGGCUCAUACUGACACUGAGGUGCGAAAGCGUGGGGAGCAAACAGGAUUAGAUACCCCCGUAGUCCCUGUCUCUUAUAC